GAUGAACGCUGGCGGCGUGCCUAAUACAUGCAAGUCGAGCGAACAGACAAUGAGCUUGCUCCUUUGACGUUAGCGGCGGACGGGUGAGUAACACGUGGAUAACCUACCUAUAUUACUGGGAUAACUUCGGGAAACCGGAGCUAAUACCGGAUAAUAUGUUGAACCGCAUGGUUCAAUGGUGAAAGACGGCUUUGCUGUUUCUUUUAGAUGGUUUCGCGCCGCAUUAGCUAGUUGGUAAGGUACCGGCAUACCAAGGCGACGAUGCGUAGCCGACCUGAGAGGGUGAUCGGCCACACGGGAACUGAGACACGGUCCAGACUCCUACGGGAGGCAGCAGUGGGGAAUGUGGGGCAAUGGGCGGAAGCCUGACGGAGCAAGGCCGCGUGAGUGAUGAAGGUCUUCGGGUCGUAAAACUCUGUUAUUAGGGAAGAACAAAUGUGUAAGUAAAUAUGGACGUCUUGACGGUACCUAAUCAGAAAGCAACGGCUAACUACGUG
rnacentral:rRNA from 1 species